rnacentral:rRNA from 1 species
UUGAACGCUGGCGGCAUGCCUUACACCUGCAAGUCGAACGGUAACGGGCCUUCGGGUGCCGACGAGUGGCGAACGGGUGAGUAAUACAUCGGAACGUGCCCGAUCGUGGGGGAUAACGAGGCGAAAGCUUUGCUAAUACCGCAUACGAUCUACGGAUGAAAGCAGGGGACCGCAAGGCCUUGCGCGGACGGAGCGGCCGAUGGCAGAUUAGGCAGUUGGUGGGAUAAAAGCUUACCAAGCCGACGAUCUGUAGCUGGUCUGAGAGGAUGAUCAGCCACACUGGGACUGAGACACGGCCCAGACUCCUACGGGAGGCAGCAGUGGGGAAUUUUGGACAAUGGGCGCAAGCCUGAUCCAGCCAUGCCGCGUGCAGGAUGAAGGCCUUCGGGUUGUAAACUGCUUUUGUACGGAACGAAAAGCCUUCUUUUAAUACAGGAGGGUCAUGACGGUACCGUAAGAAUAAGCACCGGCUAACUACGUG